UACAGAGGGUGCGAGCGUUAAUCGGAAUUACUGGGCGUAAAGCGCGCGUAGGCGGCUUUGCAAGUCGGGUGUGAAAUCCCCAGGCUCAACCUGGGAACUGCAUUCGAGACUGCAUUGCUAGAGUAUGGGAGAGGGAAGUGGAAUUUCCGGUGUAGCGGUGAAAUGCGUAGAUAAUCGGAAGGAACAUCAGUGGCGAAAGCGACUUCCUGGACCAAUACUGACGCUCAUGUGCGAAAGCGUGGGGAGCAAACAGG
rnacentral:rRNA from 1 species